CAGGAGUGUAAUGUACUUGUGCUCUCUGAGGCCUGGAGCCAGAAGCCAGAUGUUUUUCUGGGAUGACGAGGAGGCGGUUCUAGAACUCUGCCUGUAACAGAUCUACCAGUGAGAUCACGCAUUCACCGACAGUCUACUCUCAGUGAUCAUUAUAACAGAGAAGCCUGUCUUGCUACAGUUUGGUGGAGGGUCAAGAAAGAUGAUUCAGAAGUAUGUCUUUUAAGAGUCUUGGUGACACGCACAGAGCCC